UCAUAGCCCCGAUAGUAGCGACAUCCUUUUUCUUGAUAUCCUGACGGAGGAAGGGUUUCAAGAAAAAGAUAUAGCGGAUAGCGGGAAUAGCU
rnacentral:sRNA from 1 species